CCACGGGGGGCUCCAGUGAGGAAUAUUGCACAAUGGGGGGAACCCUGAUGCAGCAACGCCGCGUGGAGGAUGACGCAUUUCGGUGUGUAAACUCCUUUUAUAUGUCAAGAAAAUGACGGUAGCAUAUGAAUAAGCACCGGCUAACUCCGUGCCAGCAGCCGCGGUAAUACGGAGGGUGCAAGCGUUACUCGGAAUCACUGGGCGUAAAGGACGCGUAGGCGGGUUGGAAAGUCAGGUGUGAAAUCCUACAGCUUAACUGUAGAACUGCACUUGAAACUUCUAAUCUAGAGUAUGGGAGGGGGAAAUGGAAUUAGUGGUGUAGGGGUAAAAUCCGUAGAUAUCACUAGGAAUACCUAAAGCGAAGGCGAUCUCCUGGAACAUUACUGACGCUAAGGCGUGAAAGCGUGGGGAGCAAACAGGAUUAGAUACCCCAGUAGUC
rnacentral:rRNA from 1 species